rnacentral:rRNA from 1 species
UGCCAGCCGCCGCGGUAAUACGAACCGUACGAACGUUAUUCGGAAUCACUGGGCUUAAAGAGUGCGUAGGCGGCUUUGCAAGUUGGGUGUGAAAGCCCUCGGCUCAACCGAGGAAUUGCGCUCAAAACUGCAGGGCUUGAGUGAGAUAGAGGAGAGCGGAACUGAUGGUGGAGCGGUGAAAUGCGUUGAUAUCAUCAGGAACACCAGAGGCGAAAGCGGCUCUCUGGACCGAUACUGACGCUGAGACGCGAAAGCGUGGGGAGCAAACAGGAUUAGAUA